UACAGAGGGGGCAGGCGUUGUUCGGAAUUACUGGGCGUAAAGGGCUCGUAGGCGGCCAACUAAGUCAUACGUGAAAUCCCUCAGCUUAACUGGGGAACUGCGUGUGAUACUGGAUGGCUUGGAUUUGGGAGAGGGAUGCGGAAUUCCAGGUGUAGCGGUGAAAUGCGUAGAUAUCUGGAGGAACACCGGUGGCGAAGGCGGCAUCCUGGACCAAUAUUGACGCUGAGGAGCGAAAGCCAGGGGAGCAAACGGG
rnacentral:rRNA from 1 species